UUAUUCACCUGUUUAUCAAAACAUGGCCUAUUGAGUAUAAUUUUAGGUCGAUCUGCUCCAUGAAAUAAAUUUAAAUAGCUGCAGUAUAUUGACUGUACAAAGGUAGCAUAAUAAAUUGUCUUUUAAUUGAAGAAUUGAAUGAAUGAAUUGAUGAAAUAACAACUGUCUCUAUUUUAUUUAAUGAAUUUAAAUUUUUAGUAAAAAUUCUGAAAUUUAAUUAUGGGACGAUAAGACCCUAUAGAAUUUUAUUUAAUAUAAUUAUUUAUUUAAAUUAUUUGUGAAUAUAUAAUUAAUUUAAAUUUGAUUGGGAGGAUUGGUAAAUAAAAAUAACUUUAUCUAAAAAUUAAUUUUGAUGAAAAGAUUUUUUUUUGACUUAUAAUUUAUGAUUAAAAGAAUAAAUUACCUUAGGGAUAACAGCGUAAUAUCUUUUGAUAGACCACAUUGAUAAAGAUGUUUGCGACCUCGAUGUUGAAUUAAGAGAAAAGUUAAACGCAGGAGUUUAAAAUUUUAAGUCUGUUCGACUUUUAAAAUCUUACAUGAUUUGAGUUCAAAUCGACGUAAGUCAGAUUGGUUUCUAUCUAUA
rnacentral:rRNA from 1 species